UCCCUGGUGGCUUAGAUGGUAAAGAAUCUGCCUGCAAUGCAGGAGAUCCAGGCUCAUUCCCUGAGCGGGGAA
rnacentral:tRNA from 1 species